rnacentral:ncRNA from 2 species
UAGAAACAUUUGGGGUGCUUUAUGCUGAGAUUAUACCCAUGGAACCUGAUACAGUUAGAACUGGCGCAGGGAAAUGUAGUUGUAAACGA